AACGAACGCUGGCGGCAGGCCUAACACAUGCAAGUCGAACGGGCACCUUCGGGUGUCAGUGGCAGACGGGUGAGUAACGCGUGGGAACCUACCCAGUGGUACGGAAUAACUCGGGGAAACCCGAGCUAAUACCGUAUACGCCCUGAGGGGGAAAGAUUCAUCGCCAUUGGAUGGGCCCGCGUCGGAUUAGCUAGUUGGUGAGGUAACGGCUCACCAAGGCGACGAUCCGUAGCUGGUCUGAGAGGAUGAUCAGCCACACUGGGACUGAGACACGGCCCAGACUCCUACGGGAGGCAGCAGUGGGGAAUAUUGGACAAUGGGCGAAAGCCUGAUCCAGCCAUGCCGCGUGAGUGAAGAAGGCCUUAGGGUUGUAAAGCUCUUUCGGCGGGGAAGAUAAUGACGGUACCCGCAGAAGAAGCCCCGGCUAACUCCGUGCCAGCAGCCGCGGUAAUACGGAGGGGGCUAGCGUUGUUCGGAAUUACUGGGCGUAAAGCGCACGUAGGCGGACUGCU
rnacentral:rRNA from 1 species